rnacentral:rRNA from 1 species
ACGGGUGCGUAACGCGUAUGCAACCUACCUUAAUCAGGGGGAUAGCCCGAAGAAAUUCGGAUUAACACCGCAUAAAAACACAGUACAGCAUUGUACAAUGUUCAAAUAUUUAUAGGAUUAAGAUGGGCAUGCGUGUCAUUAGCUAGUUGGCGGGGUAACGGCCCACCAAGGCGACGAUGACUAGGGGAUCUGAGAGGAUGACCCCCCACACUGGUACUGAGACACGGACCAGACUCCUACGGGAGGCAGCAGUAAGGAAUAUUGGACAAUGGAGGCAACUCUGAACCAGCCAUGCCGCGUGCAGGAAGACAGCCCUCUGGGUCGUAAACUGCUUUUAUUCGGGAAUAAACCACAUUACGUGUAAUGUGCUGAAUGUACCGAAGGAAUAAGGAUCGGCUAACUCCGUGCCAGCAGCCGCGGUAAUACGGAGGAUCCAAGCGUUAUCCGGAUUUAUUGGGUUUAAAGGGUGCGUAGGCGGCUUAUUAAGUCAGGGGUGAAAGACGGUGGCUCAACCAUCGCAGUGCCUUUGAUACUGAUGAGCUUGAAUACACUAGAGGUAGGCGGAAUGUGACAAGUAGCGGUGAAAUGCAUAGAUAUGUCACAGAACACCGAUUGCGAAGGCAGCUUACUAUGGUGUGAUUGACGCUGAGGCACGAAAGCGUGGGGAUCAAACAGGAUUAGAUACCCUGGUAGUCCACGCCCUAAACGAUGAAUACUCGCUGUUAGCGAUAUACAGUUAGCGGCUAAGCGAAAGCGUUAAGUAUUCCACCUGGGGAGUACGCCCGCAAGGGUGAAACUCAAAGGAAUUGACGGGGGCCCGCACAAGCGGAGGAGCAUGUGGUUUAAUUCGAUGAUACGCGAGGAACCUUACCCGGGCUUGAAAGUUAGUGAAUCAUUUAGAGAUAGAUGAGUCCGCAAGGACACGAAACUAGGUGCUGCAUGGCUGUCGUCAGCUCGUGCCGUGAGGUGUUGGGUUAAGUCCCGCAACGAGCGCAACCCCUAUGUUUAGUUGCCAGCACGUUAUGGUGGGGACUCUAAACAGACUGCCUGUGCAAACAGAGAGGAAGGAGGGGACGACGUCAAGUCAUCAUGGCCCUUACGUCCGGGGCUACACACGUGCUACAAUGGAUGGUACAGAGGGCAGCAAGCUGGCAACAGCAAGCGAAUCUCAAAAAGCCAUUCACAGUUCGGAUAGAGGUCUGCAACUCGACCUCUUGAAGUUGGAUUCGCUAGUAAUCGCGUAUCAGCAAUGACGCGGUGAAUACGUUCCCGGGCCUUGUACACACCGCCCGUCAAGCCAUGGAAGUUGGGGGUACCUAAAGUAUGUAACCGCAAGGAGCGUCCUAGGGUAAAACCGAUAACUGGGGCUAAGUCGUAACAAGGUA